CGACAUUAUCACGUUGAAACAUCGGUUCCCGUACGACGAUCGAAGUUAAGCAACGUCGAGCCUGAUCAGUACCUAGAUGAAUGACUGUCUGGGAAUACCAGGUGCUGUAAG